GACAGAGGUCCCAAGCGUUAGGCGGAAUCACUGGGCUUAAAGCGUGUGUAGGCGGAUUUGUAAGUACCUUGUGAAAUCCCACGGCUCAACCGUGGAACUGCUUGGUAUACUGCUUAUCUUGGGCCAUCUAGGGGCGAGCGGAACAAACGGUGGAGCGGUGAAAUGCGUAGAUAUCGUUUGGAACGCCGAUGGUGAAAACAGCUCGCUGGGGAUGUGCCGACGCUGAGAUACGAAAGCCAGGGGAGCGAACGGG
rnacentral:rRNA from 1 species